rnacentral:rRNA from 1 species
GACGAACGCUGGCGGCGUGCCUAAUACAUGCAAGUCGAACGCAUUUUCUUUCACCGUAGCUUGCUACACCGAAAGAAAAUGAGUGGCGAACGGGUGAGUAACACGUGGGUAACCUGCCCAUCAGCGGGGGAUAACACUUGGAAACAGGUGCUAAUACCGCAUAAUUCCAUUUACCGCAUGGUAGAUGGAUGAAAGGCGCUUUUGCGUCACUGAUGGAUGGACCCGCGGUGCAUUAGCUAGUUGGUGGGGUAACGGCCUACCAAGGCUGCGAUGCAUAGCCGACCUGAGAGGGUGAUCGGCCACACUGGGACUGAGACACGGCCCAGACUCCUACGGGAGGCAGCAGUAGGGAAUCUUCGGCAAUGGACACAAGUCUGACCGAGCAACGCCGCGUGAGUGAAGAAGGUUUUCGGAUCGUAAAACUCUGUUGUUAGAGAAGAACAAGGAUGAGAGUGGAAAGUUCAUCCCCUGACGGUAUCUAACCAGAAAGCCACGGCUAACUACGUG